UCCGUAGGUGAACCUGCGGAAGGAUCAUUACAGUAUGAAUAGAGGGAUGGUGCUGGCCCCUUUGGGGGCAUGUGCACGCCUUCAAUUUCAAUCCACAUACACCUGUGCACCACGGACGAGUUUAGACUCCACUGUGUCAUUCAGUGAGUCGUUUCUUGGGGGGGAUAUGAUACACCAUACCCUUCAAGGAAUUGAGUCUGGACUCUGUCUAUUUCAUUACACUAAUGCCUGUAUAAAAUGCAUGUAUUUUGGCUCUACGGAGCUCUAAAUAAAAUACAACUUUCAACAACGGAUCUCUUGGCUUCCGCAUCGAUGAAGAACGCAGCGAACGUGCGAAACGUAAUGUGAAUUGCAGAAUUCAGUGAAUCAUCGAAUCUUUGAACGCAUCUUGCACUCCUUGGUAUUCCGAGGAGUAUGCCUGUUUGAGUGUCGUGAAUACUCUCAAACUUGACCUUUUCUUAAUUGAAAUGGGGUCAUAGUUUGGACUUGGAUGCUGCUGCGUUGGCCCUUGGGGGUCGUUGCGGCUCGUCUCGAAAUGCAUUAGCUGGCCGACUCUUGGUCUAUAAAGCUAUCAACGGUGUGAUAAGAAACAAUUCAAUUUGUUGAUUGUAGCGCUGUUGUUUUAUGGGCCGUGUCAAUGACUGCUUCUAAUAGUCCAUUAAGUUGGACAAUAGAUUUAUUUUCAUGUCAUCUGACCUCAAAUCAGGUAGGACUACCCGCUGAACUUAAGCAUAUCAAUAAGCGGAGGA
rnacentral:rRNA from 1 species